rnacentral:rRNA from 1 species
CCUACGGGGAGCUGCAGUGGGGGAUAUUGCACAAUGGGGGGAACCCUGAUGCAGCGACGCCGCGUGGGUGAAGGAGCGUUUCGGCGCGUAAAGCUCUAUCGGCAGGGAAGAAGAAGGACGGUACCUGACUAAGAAGCCCCGGCUAACUACGUGCCAGCAGCCGCGGUAAUACGUAGGGGGCAAGGGUUAUCCGGCUUUACGGGGUGGAAAGGGGGCGAAGACGGCAGCGCAAGCCAGGAGUGAAAGCCCGGGGCCCACCCCCGGGACUGCUCUUGGUACUGCGCGGCUGGAGUGCAGGUGGGGCAGGAGGAAUGCCUGGUGUAGCGGUGAAAUGCGUAGAUAUCAGGAGGAACACCGGUGGCGAAGGCGGCCCGCGGGACUGCGACUGACGUUGAGGCCCGAAAGCGUGGGGAGCAAACAGGAUUAGAUACCCCUGUAGUC